UUAACGCGAAGAACCUUACCUACUCUUGACAUCCAGAGAACUUAGCAGAGAUGCUUUGGUGCCUUCGGGAACUCUGGGACAGGUGCUGCAUGGCUGUCGUCAGCUCGUGUUGUGAAAUGUUGGGUUAAGUCCCGCAACGAGCGCAACCCUUAUCCUUUGUUGCCAGCGGUCCGGCCGGGAACUCAAAGGAGACUGCCAGUGAUAAACUGGAGGAAGGUGGGGAUGACGUCAAGUCAUCAUGGCCCUUACGAGUAGGGCUACACACGUGCCACAAUGGCGCAUACAAAGAGAAGCGACCUCGCGAGAGCAAGCGGACCUCAUAAAGUGCGUCGUAGUCCGGAUUGGAGUCUGCAACUCGACUCCAUGAGGUCGGAAUCGCUAGUAAUCGUAGAUCAGAAUGCUACGGUGAAUACGUUCCCGGGCCUUGUACACACCGAA
rnacentral:rRNA from 1 species